GAUCGGUAGGGGUUCUGAGAGGAAGGUCCCCCACAUUGGAACUGGACACGGUCCAAACUCCUACGGGAGGCAGUACUGAGGAAUAUUGGUCAAUGGACGGGAGUCUGAACCAGCCAAGUAGCGUGCAGGAUGACGGCCCUAUGGGUUGUAAACUGCUUUUAUAGGGGAAUAAAGUUCGGGUCGUGACCCGUUUUGCAUGUACCC
rnacentral:rRNA from 1 species